GGGGAUGUAGCUCAGCUGGCUAGAGCACUUGACUGGCAGUCAAGAGGUCGUGGGUUCGAGUCCCAUCUUCUCCACAA
rnacentral:tRNA from 1 species